rnacentral:rRNA from 1 species
UACAGAGGGUGCGAGCGUUAAUCGGAAUUACUGGGCGUAAAGCGUGCGUAGACGGUUAUUUAAGUCGGGUGUGAAAAGCCCCGGACUCAACCUGGGAAUUGCAUUCGAGACUGAAUAGCUAGGGUACGGUAGAGGGAAGCGGAAUUUCCGGUGUAGCGGUGAAAUGCGUAGAUAAUCGGAAGGAACAUCAGUGGCGAAAGCGGCUUCCAUG